rnacentral:lncRNA from 1 species
GAUCAUACUUUAUGAUAAUAUUUUAUAUUUUAUUUCUUCUAAUAAAGCUUAUUUAUAUGUAUAAAAGAUAAUAUUUUCUUCAAGCUAGAAGAAAAAGUCUAAUUUACAAGUUUAUGAUCAUUAAAAUUGUAACAACAACACAAUAUAAGAUUAGGAUUAGAAAUGUCUGGAUUACAAUAUCCUUGAUAAUAUCCCUUGCCAAUGCAGAAGGACAUGCAAUUAGGUGUUUGGGCACAUGUGUUAAAACAUUUCUCGAAUUGAAGUACCAAACUUGCCGAACCUAUUGAAAAGAGUAGUAUUAGUGUACUAAAUAAUUCAUAUGCAUAAGAAAAACAAUAUAUAAAAAAUUCAAACUCUAUUAUGUAAAUUGUCUACAUACCUAUUGAGAAUAGAAGAACUACCAUCAAAGUUACCAUAAUAAACUUCUGUGUACUGAUCAUUGUUCUUUCUUUUCUUCAAUGAUCCUCUUU